UAAAAGUCUAAUCAAACCUGGAGAUAGCUCGUUCUCUCCGAAAUAGCUUUAGGGCUAGCGUUGAGCCACUACUUCACGGGGGUAGAGCUACUGAUUUCGGCUGGGGCCCUUCCCGGGGUACCCACCGUAGUCAAACUCCGAAUACCGUGAAGAUUAUCUCAGCAGUCAGUCCACGUGGGAGAAGCUGCGUGGUCGAGAGGGAAACAACCCAGAUCGCCUGUUAAGGUCCCUAAAUCUUUACUAAGUCACAAAGGAUGUUUGAGUACUGUGACAGUCGGGAUGUUGGCUUAGAAGCAGCCACCAUU
rnacentral:rRNA from 1 species